AUCCCAUCCGCAAGGAGUAAGACCCCUGAAAGACUAACAGGUUGAUAGGUUCAAGGUGUAAGCACAGUAAUGUGUUCAGCCAGCGAAUACUAAUCGGUCGAGGGCUUAACCUU
rfam:Ruminococcus sp. YE71 genome assembly, contig: IE40DRAFT_scaffold00015.15